rnacentral:rRNA from 1 species
UGAGGAAUAUUGCACAAUGGGCGCAAGCCUGAUGCAGCGACGCCGCGUGGGUGAAGAAGGUUUUCGGAUCGUAAAACCCUUUUCUGUGUGACGAGAACGGACGGUAGCACAGGAAUAAGUCUCGGCUAACUACGUGCCAGCAGCCGCGGUAAAACGUAGGAGACAAACGUUAUCCGGAGUUACUGGGCGUAAAGGGCGUGCAGGCGGCAGUCUAAGUCUGGCGUGAAAUAUCCCGGCUUAACCGGGGAAGGUCGUCGGAUACUGGGCAGCUAGAGGGCGGUAGAGGCGUGUGGAAUUCCGGGUGUAGUGGUGAAAUGCGUAGAGAUCCGGAGGAACACCAGUGGCGAAGGCGACACGCUGGGCCGCACCUGACGCUAAGACGCGACAGCAUGGGGAGCAAACAGGAUUAGAUACCCGCGUAGUCCCUGAGCGGGCUGGCAAGGCGCAU